rnacentral:rRNA from 1 species
AGAGUUUGAUCAUGGCUCAGGACGAACGCUGGCGGCGUGCUUAACACAUGCAAGUCGAACGAUGAACUCCAGCUUGCUGGGGGGGAUUAGUGGCGAACGGGUGAGUAACACGUGAGUAACCUGCCCUGGACUCUGGGAUAACCCCGAGAAAUCGGAGCUAAUACCGGAUAGGACCUUUCCCUGCAUGGGGUUUGGUGGAAAGUUUUUCGGUUUGGGAUGGACUCGCGGCCUAUCAGCUUGUUGGUGAGGUAAUGGCUCACCAAGGCGUCGACGGGUAGCCGGCCUGAGAGGGUGACCGGCCACACUGGGACUGAGACACGGCCCAGACUCCUACGGGAGGCAGCAGUGGGGAAUAUUGCACAAUGGGCGCAAGCCUGAUGCAGCAACGCCGCGUGCGGGAUGACGGCCUUCGGGUUGUAAACCGCUUUUAGUAAGGAAGAAGGGGAGCUUGCUCCUUGACGGUACUUGCAGAAAAAGGACCGGCUAACUACGUGCCAGCAGCCGCGGUAAUACGUAGGGUCCGAGCGUUGUCCGGAAUUAUUGGGCGUAAAGAGCUCGUAGGCGGUUUGUCGCGUCUGCUGUGAAAUCCCGAGGCUCAACCUCGGGCCUGCAGUGGGUACGGGCAGACUUGAGUGGUGUAGGGGAGACUGGAAUUCCUGGUGUAGCGGUGGAAUGCGCAGAUAUCAGGAGGAACACCGAUGGCGAAGGCAGGUCUCUGGGCACUUACUGACGCUGAGGAGCGAAAGCGCGGGGAGCGAACAGGAUUAGAUACCCUGGUAGUCCACGCCGUAAACGUUGGGCGCUAGAUGUGGGGACCUUUCCACGGUUUCCGUGUCGUAGCUAACGCAUUAAGCGCCCCGCCUGGGGAGUACGGCCGCAAGGCUAAAACUCAAAUGAAUUGACGG